rnacentral:rRNA from 1 species
AGAGUUUGACCUGGCUCAGGACGAACGCUGGCGGCGUGCUUAACACAUGCAAGUCGAACGGAAAGGCUCCUUGCUUGCAAGGGUACUCGAGUGGCGAACGGUGAGUAACACGUGGGUGAUCUGCCUUCGACUUCGGGAUAAGCCUGGGAAACUGGGUCUAAUACCGGAUAGGACCAUGCUUUAGUGUGUGUGGUGGAAAGUUUUUUCGGUGCAAGAUGAGCCCGCGGCCUAUCAGCUUGUUGGUGGGGUAAUGGCCUACCAAGGCGACGACGGUAGCCGGCCUGAGAGGGUGUACGGCCACAUUGGGACUGAGACACGGCCCAGACUCUACGGGAGGCAGCAGUGGGAAUAUUGCACAAUGGGCGCAAGCUGAUGCAGCGACGCCGCGUGGGGAUGACGGCCUUCGGUUGUAACGCCUUUCGCUAGGAAGAAGCACUGUGUGGUGACGGUACCUGGUACAAGAAGCACCGGCUAACUACGUGCCAGCAGCCGCGGUAAUACGUAGGGUGCGACGUUGUCCGGAAUUACUGGCGUAAAGAGCUCGUAGGUGGUUUGUCGCGUCGUCUGUGAAAUCCCGGGGCUUAACUUCGGCGUGCAGGCGAUACGGGCAUAACUAGAGUGCUGUAGGGGAGACUGGAAUUCCUGGUGUAGCGGUGAAAUGCGCAGAUAUCAGGAGGAACACCGAUGGCGAAGGCAGGUCUCUGGGCAGUUACUGACGCUGAGGAGCGAAAGCAUGGGUAGCGAACAGGAUUAGAUACCCUGGUAGUCCAUGCCGUAAACGGUGGGCGCUAGGUGUGGGGGUUUUAUUUACGAUUCCCGUGCCGUAGCUAACGAUUAAGCGCCCCGCCUGGGGAGUACGGCCGCAACGUAAAACUCAAAGGAAUUGACGGGGGCCCGCACAAGCGCGGAGAUGUGGAUUAAUUCGAUGCAACGCGAAGAACCUUACCUGGGCUUGACGUACACCGGAUCGCUGCAGAGAUGUAGUUUCCCUUGUGGCUGGUGUACAGGUGGUGCAUGGUUGUCGUCAGCUCGUGUCGUGAGAUGUUGGGUUAAGUCCCGCAACGAGCGCAACCCUUGUCUUGUGUUGCCAGCACGUUAUGGUGGGGACUCGCGAGAGACUGCCGGGUUAACUCGGAGGAAGGUGGGAUGACGUCAAAUCAUCAUGCCCCUUAUGUCCAGGGCUUCACACAUGCUACAAUGGUCGGUACAGUGGGUUGCGAUACCGUGAGGUGGAGCUAAUCCCUUAAAGCCGGUCUCAGUUCGGAUUGGAGUCUGCAACUCGACUCCAUGAAGUCGGAGUCGCUAGUAAUCGCAGAUCAGCAACGCUGCGGUGAAUACGUUCCCGGGCCUUGUACACACCGCCCGUCGCGUCAUGAAAGUUGGUAACACCCGAAGCCAGUGGCCCAAACUUGUUAGGGAGCUGUCGAAGGUGGGAUUGGCGAUUGGGACGAAGUCGUAACAAGGUA